GGUGGCGGCGUGGAUAAGACAUGCAAGUCGAACGGGACUUUCAGUGUAGCAAUACAUUGAAAGUUCAGUGGCGUAAGGGUGCGUAACACGUGGGAAAUCUGCCGAGAAGUGGGGGAUAGCUCGCCGAAAGGCGAAUUAAUACCGCAUGUGGUCAGCGAGGACAUCCUCGCGAAACCAAAGCCGGGGCAACCUGGCGCUUCUUGAUGAUCCCGCGGCCUAUCAGCUAGUUGGCGGGGUAAAAGCCCACCAAGGCUAUGACGGGUAGCUGGUCUGAGAGGACGACCAGCCACACUGGAACUGAGACACGGUCCAGACACCUACGGGUGGCAGCAGUCGAGAAUUUUUCUCAAUGGGGGAAACCCUGAAGGAGCGACGCCGCGUGAAGGAUGAAGGUCUUCGGAUUGUAAACUUCUGUCAUUAGGGAACAAAUCUUCCGGUUAACUGCCGGAAGUCUGAUAGUACCUGAAGAGGAAGAGACGGCUAACUCUGUGCCAGCAGCCGCGGUAAUACAGAGGUCUCAACCGUUGUUCGGAUUCAUUGGGCGUAAAGGGUGCGUAGGCGGCGGAGUAAGUCAGGUGUGAAAUCUCGGGGCUCAACCCCGAAACUGCACUUGAUACUGCUUCGCUAGAGUAUUGGAGAGGAGAUUGGAAUUUACGGUGUAGCAGUGAAAUGCGUAGAUAUCGUAAGGAAGACCAGUGGCGAAGGCGAAUCUCUGGACA
rnacentral:rRNA from 1 species